GAUCUUUCUCAUUACACACAAAAUUACUCAAAAAUAUUAAACUCUCUCAAGAACUCAAGAAAAUUCAAAACUUCUUCUCCCUCAAAGAAGCAACUCGUGCCCGCAAAUCUCCUUUCCUCUGGCACCACUGCGCCCGUCAUCUCCCAUCUCUGGAACUCUCCACCCCUACUGCGGUCGCCACCAUUCUCCCGUGCUCGCCACUGUUCCUCAGUGACAACCCCCUAUGUCACACGAUCUCUCCCUCUACGACAUACUCCCUUGCUAACGCCCUCCCUCCGGCUUCCAUUUCCGGCAAAAUCUCCGGCCAGUAGCUCCCUCCGUCAAGGUGCUCCCUCUGUGCACAGCCUACUCUCUAUCACCGUAUCUCCUCUAUUUCAUAAGCUUCUACAAUCGGAUCAGUUCUCCGAUCAACACAUUUGA